AUCCACCUGCCUCGCCUUCCAAAGUGCUGGGAUUACAGGCAUGAACCACCAUGCCUGGCCAAGGAAUCUAUAUCUUAACAAGUCUGUGUUAAAAUAUAAGUGGCAGCUGGGCGCGGUGGCUCACACCUGUAAUCCCAGCACUUUGGGAGGUCAAGGCGGGCAGAUCACGAGGUUAGGAGAUCGAGACCAUCCUGGCUAACACGGUGAAACCCCAUCUCUACUAAAAAUACAAAAAAAUUAGCCAGACAUGGUGGCAGCCUCCUGUAGUCCCAGCUACUCGGGAGGCUGAGGCAGGAGAAGGGCAUGAACCUGGCAGGCGGAGCUUGCAGUGAGCCAAGAUGGCGUCACUGCACUCCAGCCUGAGGGACAGAGCAAGACUCUGUCUCAAAAAAAAAAGAAAAAAAAGUGGCACAGAUCAAUUAUAAAUCACUGCUUCAAGGCCAGUGCUCUCACUUUGUACAUUAAUAAUCUCAGGCCCAAAUAAGAUAAGUGAUAUGUCAACGUAUGUUCACUUUGGUCUUUACAUGGCAGCUAUAGUAUACGGAAUAUUAUAAGCUCAGAUCGUCAUAGCUACAUAACUCCUUUAGUUGGAAGAUCACGCGUAAAUGCCCAUCAAGAGCUAGCAGUUCUGCAUUUGACUCUUGAAGACCGUGGCAUGGCAGACAACACUUCUUGAGCUGUAACAGGUGGACAUUAAAUCCAUGACAGGAGGUAGAGACGGCCAGAUUACUUGAGCCCAAGAGUUUGAGACCAGCCUAGGCAACAUGGUGAGACCUCAUCUCUACUGAAAAAGGAGGAUAAUCCAACUCUCUUCUACUUCACAUUAAUAUCCUUUUAAUGAGCAUGGUCAGAUACUUUGGAAAGUUGUGGAGAUAACUUCAGAAACUAAAUCUGAAUAAAAACCUAUGUGUAAACGAUCAUAUAGAUGGCUGUUAGCAAAGUGGUACUUUUGUAAACUUUACAGUUGACAUACUAUAGUAUAUACUACAUAUAUACUUAUAUACUACAUAUAAUACAUAGAAUUAUACAUAAUAUACUAUAGUAUGUCAACUAUAGUAUAGUAUAUUUGACACGUUUAAAAUGUACAGUUUCAUAGGUUUUAAGAUACAUAUAUACACAGGAAGCCAUCAUCACAAUCAAGAUAGUGAACAUAACCUAAAUCUCCAGAAGUCCCUCAUGUUCCUUUGUGAUCUUGUCUCCUGCCCCUUCAUACCGUCCAUCCCCAGGGAACCAUUGCAUUCUGUCAUGAGAGAUUAGUUUUGCACUUUCUAAAAUUUUGCAUAAGUGGAAUCAUACAGUAGGGACCCUUCAGGAGUGGAGGAGGGCUGGCUUAUUUCAGUCAGCAUAAUUGAGAUUCAUCCAUAAAGUAGCAAGUAUCAAUACUUUUUAUUAUAUAUUGAUUGUGGUUAUCCCACAGUUUAUCCAUUCACUUAUUGAUGGACAUUUGAAUUCCAGUUUUUAGAAAUUACAAAGCUGCUAAGAACAUUUUAGUACAACUCUUGGUAUGGAUAGAUGCUUUCUUCUUGAGUAAAUACCUCGGAGUGGAAUGGCUGAAUUGUAAUGGAUAUGUGUGUUUAUCUUUCGAAGGAAACAACAGUUCCAGGCCAGGUGCGAUGGCUCAUGCCUGUCAUCUCAACACUUUGGGAGGCUGAGGUGGUUGGACCACCUGAGGUCAGGAGUUCAAGACCAGCCUGGCCAACAUGGCAAAACUCUGUCUCUACUAAAAAAUACAGGCCGGGUACUGUGGCUCAUGCCUGUAAUGCCAGCACUUUGGGAGGCUGGGGCAGGCAAAUCAUGAGGUCAAAAGAUUGAGACCAUCCUGGCCAACAUGGUGAAACCUCGUCUCUACUAAAAAUACAAAAAUUAGCCAGGCAUGGUAGUGUGCGCCUGUAGUCCCAGCCACUCGGGAGGCUGAGGCAGAAGAAUCACUUGAACCCGGGAGGUGGAGGUUGCUGUGAGCCGAGAUCGCACCACUGCAGUUCAGCCUGGCAACAGAGUGAGACUCUGUCUCAAAAACAAACAAACAAACAAACAAAAAAAAACAAAAAGUAUUUUUACGUGUGGUGGCAUGUGCCUAUAAUCCCAGCUACUUGGGAGGCUGAGGCACAAGAAUUGCUUGAACCUAGGAGGCGGAGGUUGCAGUGAGCCAAGAUCAUGCCACUGCACCCCGUCCUGGGUGACAGCAAGACUCCAUCUCAAAAAAAAAAAAAAAAAAAGAAAAGAAAAAAAUAGCAGUUUUCUAAAGUGUUUUUACCUUUUUAUGUUUGCACUCAUACUGCAGCAGAUGAGAUUUUCAGUUCCUCCAAAUCCUUGCUAACCCUACGAACAGUCUUGAUAAUUUUGUCGUUCUGAUAUUUGUGCAGUGGGUGCACAUUGUGAUUAAGGACUAAUGAUGUUGAGCAUCUUUUCAUGUGUUUAUUUGCAAACUGUCCAGUCUUUGCUUUGGCUUUGUAUUCACUUAAUAGUGUCUUUUGAAGAGCAAAAGUUAUUAAUUUUGAAGCCCAGUGUGUCAGUUUGUUCUUUAAUGGAUCAUGCUUUUGGGGUUGAAUCUCAAAAAUCUUUGCCUAACUAAAGGUCAUAGAUAAUUUCUGUAUGUUCUCUUAUAGAAAUCUUACAGUUUUAGGCUUAAUAUUUAGGUUUUUGCUUCAUUUUGAGUUAAUUUUUAUAUGAUGUGAGGUGUAAAUCAGAGUCCUUUAUUUUUAUAUGGAGAUAUCUAACUUCUAGCACCAUUUGUUGAACAAUUAUCCUUUCUCUAUUGAAUUAUUUUUUCAGUUUUGUUGAAAAUCAGUUGUCUGUUGUAUUCUGUUUAUUUGUCUUUCAUGAUGCCUAUACUAUACUCUGUUGAUUCUGUAGCUUUAUAAUUAGUAUUGAAGUUAGAUAGUGUUAAUCCUCCAACUUUUUUUUUUCAAAGUUGUUUUGGUUAUUUUAGGUCCUUUGCAUUUCUUUUUCUUUUUUUGAAAGAGGAUCUUCUGGCCAGUCAUGGUAGCUCACGCCUGUAAUCCCAACACUUUGGGAGGCCGAACUGGGCAGAUCACUUGAGGUCAGGAGUUCGAGACCAGCCUGGCCAAAAUGGCAAAACCCCAUCUCUGUAACUAAAAAUACAAAAAUUAGCCAGGCAUGAUACUGUGUGCCUGUAAUCCCAGCUCCUUGGGAGGCUGAGGCACAAGAAUCACUUGAACCCAGGAGGCGGAAGUUGCAGUGAGCCGAGAUCACACCACUGCACUCCAGCCGGGGUGACGGAGUGAGACUGUCUUAGAUAGAUAGAUAGAUAGAUAGAUAGAUAGAUAGAUAGAUAGAUAGAUAGAUAGAUAGACAGACAAGAUAGAUAGACUCUGUCUCAGAAGGAAGGGAGGGAGGGAAAGGAGAGAAAGAAAAGAAAAGAGAGAAGAGAAAGAAAAGAAAAGAAGAAAAGAAACAGGGUCUCCCUCUAUUGCCCAGGCUGGAGUACAUUGGCAUGAUCAUGGCUUACUGCAGCCUUGACCUGGGCUUACUUGAUUCUCUUACCUCAGACUCUUGUGUAGGUCAAACUAUAGGCAUUCACCAUCACAUCUAAGUUUUUUUUAGGUAUUUAUUCACUCUGUGGUCCAGGCUGGUCCCAAACUCCUGGGUUCAAGAGAUCUACUUGCCUUGGCCUUCCAAAGUGUUGACAUUACAGUCAUGAGCCACUGCACCCAGAUGCAUUUCUGUAUAGAUUUUAAGUGUAGUCCGUUUCUUCCAGAAAGUGUGGUGGGGGGUGAAUUGGGAUUGUGUUCAAUCUGUAUAUCCAUUGAGAAUUGACAUAUUAAAAAUAUUUAGUAUUCCAGAUCGUGAACACGGUAUAUCUGUCUAUUUAGGUCUUCUUUUAUUUCUGUCAACAAUAUAACUUUAGUUUAUAAAUCUUCUGUCAAAUUUAUCCCUGAGUGUUUUAUAUUUUUUGAUGCUAUUGUGAAAUGAUACCAGUUUAAAAUUACAGUUUCCAGUAUUACUGGUAUAUAUUGAUCUUGAUUCCUAUAACUUUGCUGAAAUCACUUACUAGUUCUAGAAUUUUUUUUCUUUUUUGGUAGAUUCUUUUGGAUUUUUAAGUUGUGGAACUUAUCACCUGGGAAUAAAAAAGGCAGUUUUACUUCUUUCCAAUGCAGAUGACUUUUUUGUUUUUUUUUUCUUGCCAUAUUGGAUGGAAGGGAACCUUAAGUAUAGGGCGAGAGUGAACAUCCUUGUCUUGUUCCUGUUUUUGAGGGAAAGUAUACAGUCUUUCAUUAUUAUGUAAAUAUUAGCUGUAGGUUUUUUGUAGAUACCCUUUAUUGGUUUGAGGAAAUUUUCUUUGGUUUGCUGUUUUUACCAGGAGUAGAUGUUGGAUUUUGUCAAAUGCUUUUUGUGGGUCUGAUCGAGAUAAUCACACAAUUUUAAUAUAGUGAAUUACAUGACUUGAAUUUUCAAAUAUUAAAGUGGUCUUGUAUUUCUGGGUUAAAUCACAUUUUGGUCAUGCAAUAUUAUUUUUUUAACCCUUUUUGCAUUUAGAAAAAAAGCUGCAGCUUGCUGCCAGUUCUCAUGUAAUUUCACAUAAACACACUCUUUGAGGCUGAAGCAAAUCUGAUUUUCAGUGUGAAAAUAAAAUAUAAAAACUGUUCUUGGAGUUAUUUCUAAACAGAACUAACAUCAGAAUCAUCUGACUCAUCAGAAUCAUCUGUUUUGGAAAAUUCAGAUUCAUCAAAUUAGUCUUCGGCCAACUGAGAACAAUGUUAACAUCACCUUUAGGAAUGUUAUGCAGGCCAAGAAUAAAAUCUUUAUGAACUAACAAGAUGAAUUAAAGAUGGAAUGAUUCAUUUCUAUGGUUAGGUUUUAAUUAAUACAUGGGGGAUGAUUUUGGCACUUUUUCAAAGAAUUUGUUUCUGUGUAUCUGAAUUUGCACCUACUCUGUAACCUAACUGCGAUUUAUAAAAUGAAACAAUCUCUUCUAAUUUGGCACUUGAUAGGUGCUUUGACUUUAAAAGGCAAGUGUAUUUUUCUGUCACGAAUAUCUUGUCAUUCUAAAAUAAGUAAAAACAAUGGAUUGAUGAAA